CAAAGACAUAGCCAUGCUAGUCUGGAUUAGCAUGCAAAGGGAUCCCUUUGAAGUAGAGAACAAAUUGAUUGGGAUUGCUGUGGGCCAAAUCGGCUUUGGGCUAUGUUUCCUGGACAGAAGUGUUUGGUAGGCAUAUGAACUUAUCAAGGCAGUUGUGAUGGUGCCGAGGCAGUUCUUCUGCCAAAUGCAAAGAGGGUCGCCCUCCUGCCAAGUGCAGAUGGACUUUGCAGCCAUCUUGCCCCAAUCUGCCAAGUCUCCAGCAAGACUCCCAAGAUGAGCAAGCAUCUUUAACCAAGGGGACUCAGUACUACCUCUAUUAUGCCCUCCAUCUGUUUCUUCCAGCCUACCAACCCGGUUGCCAACAUCCAAUAUGGAUUGAACCUCAAUUGCUUGGCUUCCAUCAAAACCCUUUUAUGUUUUUUUUUUAAUUUCUCCAAUAAACUGGGAACACACGCCUGGCAUCAUAUGCCAGCAAUUCAGGUAGUACGCAUAUAUUUCCAUGACUGAUAGACCGAGCAAAAUAAAACAUGAUGGGAAUGAAACUAAAUUUAAUUACUGAGUUCUCAGGCCUAUUUGCCCCAAGUUCCACUGGUGUCAACCAUUUUAUAUUGUCUAUAUAAACUGUAACAGGACUGACUAUAGCUCACCAUAGGAUGUGUAUGACAUGAUGAUCCUGGAUUAUGUAAUGUAAUGUAAUGUGUAAAAAUAUCCCUAAGGUUAUGGAAA